rnacentral:rRNA from 1 species
GAUGAACGCUGGCGGCGUGCCUAAUACAUGCAAGUCGAGCGAACGGACGAGAAGCUUGCUUCUCUGAUGUUAGCGGCGGACGGGUGAGUAACACGUGGAUAACCUACCUAUAAGACUGGGAUAACUUCGGGAAACCGGAGCUAAUACCGGAUAAUAUUUUGAACCGCAUGGUUCAAAAGUGAAAGACGGUCUUGCUGUCACUUAUAGAUGGAUCCGCGCUGCAUUAGCUAGUUGGUAAGGUAACGGCUUACCAAGGCAACGAUGCAUAGCCGACCUGAGAGGGUGAUCGGCCACACUGGAACUGAGACACGGUCCAGACUCCUACGGGAGGCAGCAGUAGGGAAUCUUCCGCAAUGGGCGAAAGCCUGACGGAGCAACGCCGCGUGAGUGAUGAAGGUCUUCGGAUCGUAAAACUCUGUUAUUAGGGAAAAACAUAUGUGUAAGUAACUGUGCACAUCUUGACGGUACCUAAUCAGAAAGCCACGGCUAACUACGUGCCAGCAGCCGCGGUAAUACGUAGGUGGCAAGCGUUAUCCGGAAUUAUUGGGCGUAAAGCGCGCGUAGGCGGUUUUUUAAGUCUGAUGUGAAAGCCCACGGCUCAACCGUGGAGGGUCAUUGGAAACUGGAAAACUUGAGUGCAGAAGAGGAAAGUGGAAUUCCAUGUGUAGCGGUGAAAUGCGCAGAGAUAUGGAGGAACACCAGUGGCGAAGGCGACUUUCUGGUCUGUAACUGACGCUGAUGUGCGAAAGCGUGGGGAUCAAACAGGAUUAGAUACCCUGGUAGUCCACGCCGUAAACGAUGAGUGCUAAGUGUUAGGGGGUUUCCGCCCCUUAGUGCUGCAGCUAACGCAUUAAGCACUCCGCCUGGGGAGUACGACCGCAAGGUUGAAACUCAAAGGAAUUGACGGGGACCCGCACAAGCGGUGGAGCAUGUGGUUUAAUUCGAAGCAACGCGAAGAACCUUACCAAAUCUUGACAUCCUUUGACAACUCUAGAGAUAGAGCCUUCCCCUUCGGGGGACAAAGUGACAGGUGGUGCAUGGUUGUCGUCAGCUCGUGUCGUGAGAUGUUGGGUUAAGUCCCGCAACGAGCGCAACCCUUAAGCUUAGUUGCCAUCAUUAAGUUGGGCACUCUAAGUUGACUGCCGGUGACAAACCGGAGGAAGGUGGGGAUGACGUCAAAUCAUCAUGCCCCUUAUGAUUUGGGCUACACACGUGCUACAAUGGACAAUACAAAGGGCAGCGAAACCGCGAGGUCAAGCAAAUCCCAUAAAGUUGUUCUCAGUUCGGAUUGUAGUCUGCAACUCGACUACAUGAAGCUGGAAUCGCUAGUAAUCGUAGAUCAGCAUGCUACGGUGAAUACGUUCCCGGGUCU